AGCGUAGAUGGAUGUUUAAGUCAGUUGUGAAAGUUUGCGGCUCAACCGUAAAAUUGCAGUUGAUACUGGAUAUCUUGAGUGCAGUUGAGGCAGGCGGAAUUCGUGGUGUAGCGGUGAAAUGCUUAGAUAUCACGAAGAACUCCGAUUGCGAAGGCAGCCUGCUAAGCUGCAACUGACAUUGAGGCCCGAAAGUGUGGGUAUCAAACA
rnacentral:rRNA from 1 species